rnacentral:tRNA from 1 species
GCGCCAGUAGUCUAGCCUGGUAUAGCAAACGGGAAAGGACACGAGCUUCCCAAGCUCGUUGCGUGGGUUCAAAUCCCGCCUGGCGCA